UCCUAGCUUUCUAUAUGUGCCAGCAAUGGAGUGCCGCCAACUGAGAUUCAUAGGAAUCAUGUGUAUGAGAAGCUUCCAUCAAAACCUGCCACCAAUCACUAAAACCAGACUCCCUAGGAAUGAACCCCAACAUAUACCCAAAUUAGGUUGCCUUAGCAUGGUUACAAAAGAAAAUCAAUGUUCUAUAGAUUCCACAGAUUGACUACAAAGUAGGCACGGAUUGACUACAAAUUAGCUCUUGUUGCAAUGGAGUUUUGACAUGCUCUCCAAAUGAAAAAACGAACUUUUGGUGGUAUAGAGAAACUCUAAAUAUACUUUCAAAAUUUAGAAUUAGAUUACCUAGAGGG
rnacentral:misc_RNA from 1 species